GAAUAGAUGGAAGAGGAAGAGGAAAGCAAAGAAGCAUACCAAUACCACUAUAGUUAUAAUAAAGUAUGGAAGCAAAGAAAGAAAGAAUAGGAGGUACAAAAUGGGGUUUUCAGUGACAAAGGUGAGGAUGAACAGAGGAGCUCCACCUCUGGACGUGGUGGCAGAGCAGAUGUGUCGGUUUCUUGGUUGAGGUGCAGAAGGAGACUGAGGUGUUGGUUUCAAAUGCAGAGAAGAUCACAGAAAGAAUCACAUGUGCAAGACAUCAUAUCACUAAGUUCUUGAGGCAUACGUUGAACCUGGUUGAUUUCUUCAGUUUCUUGUUAUCAGAUGAUCUGAAUCAUCCAAUUGUUAGUAAGGUGUAUCAAGACAUGACCUCUCAAGUACAAAGUUGUAGUAUCCACUAAGCUUCCCAAAGGGAACCUGAAAAAAAGGAAAAAGGAUUCUGAGUCAGAUGUAUCAGGAAAGGCGUCAUCAGAUGUUUCAACCGACCAAGUAGACAAUGAGAAGUGACUUGUGUAGACUCUGAGGAAGAACCAAGCGAUGCCAAAAAAAUAAAGAGAAUGGAUUUGAUCAAGAAUCCCAGCAGUUACAGUCGCCUGAUAUUUGUUUCGGACUGGAAAACCUAAAAAUGGAUUGAAGAAAUCACUUAGGGUUGGUGGUGGUGGAGUUUCAGCUUACAGUAAUGGAGCUAGCAUUGCUCAUAUUUGAAGUUCACGACUAUAACAUGCCAGAGAAUGGCGGUUUCUCGGGGCAGAUAUGUUUGCCUGUGGCAGAGCUGAGACAGGGUAUAGUUCUGUUCCUUUGUAUGAUCGCAAAGGCGAUAGAUAGACAUAGACUAUUUGCAGUUCCACUGCUUAUGCGGUUUCAGUUUAUUUAAAUACAGAGUUUCUUUCUUC